rnacentral:rRNA from 1 species
AAAGCACUUUCAGUCGUGAGGAAGGUAGUGUAGUUAAUAGCUGCAUUAUUUGACGUUAGCGACAGAAGAAAGCACCGGCUAACUCCGUGCCAGCAGCCGCGGUAAUACGGAGGUGCGAGCGUUAAUCGGAAUUACUGGGCGUAAAGCGCAUGCAGGUGGUUUGUUAAGUCAGAUGUGAAAGACCCGGGGCGUCAACCUACGGAAUAAGCAUUUAGUAAACUAGGCAGACUAGAGUACUGUAGAGGGGGGUAGGAAUUUCAGGUGUAGCGGUGAAAAUGCGUAGAGAUCUGAAGGAAUACCGGUGGCGAAGGCGGCCCCCUCGGACAGAUACUGACACUCAGAUGCGAAAGCGUGGGGAGCAAACAGGAUUAGAUACCCUGGUAG